UACGUAGGGUGCAAGCGUUAAUCGGAAUUACUGGGCGUAAAGCGUGCGCAGGCGGUUUUGUAAGUCUGACGUGAAAUCCCCGGGCUCAACCCGGGAACUGCGUCCGAUACUGGUUGGCUUGAAUCCGGGAGAGGGAUGCGGAAUUCCAGGUGUAGCGGUGAAAUGCGUAGAUAUCUGGAGGAACACCGGUGGCGAAGGCGGCAUCCUGGACCGGCAUUGACGCUGAGGCGCGAAAGCCAGGGGAGCAAACGGG
rnacentral:rRNA from 1 species